ACUACAAGAGUCCAGCUACCGCAGCAGAACCCACACAACCGCUCCUACACACACGGAUGGAGAACGGGAGCUGGCUUGGCGGUGAUGUGGUUAGACUUUGUGCUCUAUUUAUCAGCUCUUUCUUAGGUCAUUUCUACGGGGAGAAAAUCUAAGUCUUCCAUGAUGAAACUGGUGUUUGUUUUUGCCGUGGUUGCGUAUUUCUUUGCAGAACAUCUAGCACUUCCCGUUGGAGAAGAACGACAGCGAGAGGAUGUGGUAACACGGUGCUUGGUUGAGGUCCUGUCCAAGGCGUUGACCAAACCUGACUCUCACCCUCUGGAUCAGGAAUGUAAAGAUAUUCUCAAAGCAGGUGCCCAACAUGCUGCUCCUGUGGAGAAGAAAAGUGAUGAGGUGCUGACUAAUGAAGAGGAGGGCAAAGAACAUGAACCUGAGGCACCAGGAGCCGACGUGAAAGACAUCGAGGCCCUCUUGAAGUCUGUGGAGGAGAAGAGGGAGACACCGGAGGACGAAGAUCGCAGCCAGGAGUCAUGGGACCUCAACUACGAGAAGGAGAAAAGGAUUUGGAAACCAACACACAGGUAUCAUUAUAAGAAACCCAAUCACAAACGUGAUGAGGAGGUUUCUGAAGAAGUGAGAGAAGAGCCAGACGAAGAACGUAGUCAGGAAUCCUGGAGCCUGGGCGAUGAGAAGGAGAAGAGAUAUAGGCCUACCUAUCGGUACACCACCAAAAAACACCACAAACGAGACGAAGAGGGUUUAGAGGAAGAGAGAGAAGAGCCAGAAGAGGAACGUAGUCAGGAAUCCUGGAGCCUGGGCGAUGAGAAGGAGAAGAGCCAGAAGAGGAACGUAGUCAGGAAUCCUGGAGCCUGGGCGAUGAGAAGGAGAAGAGAUAUAGGCCUACCUAUCGGUACACCCCAAAGAAACACCACAAACGAGACGAAGAAGACGAAGAGCGCAGUCAAGAGUCCUGGAGUCUGGGCGAUGAGAAAGAAAAGAGAGAGGAGGAUGAUGAGGAAAGAAAGAAGAGGAUCUGGAAACCCACCCAUCGGUACCACCACAAGAAGCACCACAAACGCAAUGAGGAUAUGA
rnacentral:lncRNA from 13 species